GGGAAUGUGGCUUAGUGGUAGGGUGUUUGCCUCACAUGCAUGAAGCCCUGGGUUCAAUUCCUCAGUACCA
rnacentral:tRNA from 1 species